CGUAGGCGUGCAGCGUGCGCUGGCAGAGUGCUGAGCGAACGCAGUCCUCUUUCGCAAAGCGCACCACGCCCACCAUCUCAUCCUCUUCAAAGCGUGCCAGCGCAUCGGCAAGACCGGACUGGACGCUGGCGGGCAGAUCGCACUGGGUAAUAUCACCGUUAACGAUAACCGUGACAUUUUCCCCCAGGCGGGUC
rnacentral:antisense_RNA from 1 species